GAUGAACGCUAGCGGCAGGCCUAAUACAUGCAAGUCGAACGGGAUCCAGAUCAGAGCUUGCUUUGGUCUGGUGAGAGUGGCGCACGGGUGCGUAACGCGUGAGCAACCUACCCUUGUCAGGGGGAUAGCCCGGCGAAAGUCGGAUUAAUACCGCAUGACAUCAUUGAGAGGCAUCUUUCGAUGAUCAAAGAUUUAUCGGACAAGGAUGGGCUCGCGUGACAUUAGCUAGUUGGUAAGGUAACGGCUUACCAAGGCUGCGAUGUCUAGGGGCUCUGAGAGGAGAAUCCCCCACACUGGUACUGAGACACGGACCAGACUCCUACGGGAGGCAGCAGUAAGGAAUAUUGGUCAAUGGACGGAAGUCUGAACCAGCCAUGCCGCGUGCAGGAGGACGGCCCUAUGGGUUGUAAACUGCUUUUAUACGGGAACAAACGUCGGUACGUGUACCGGUCUGAGUGUACCGUAAGAAUAAGGAUCGGCUAACUCCGUG
rnacentral:rRNA from 1 species